GACAGAGGCCUCAAGCGUUAGGCGGAAUCAUUGGGCGUAAAGAGCGUGUAGGCGGCCCGGUAAGUCUGUUGUGAAAGUCCAGGGCUCAACCCCUGGAAUGCCGAUGGAUACUGCCGGGCUAGAGUUCGGAAGAGGCGAGUGGAAUUCCAGGUGUAGCGGUGAAAUGCGUAGAUAUCUGGAAGGAAUACCGGUGGCGAAGGCGGCAUCUGGACCGGCAUUGACGCUGAGGAGCGAAAGCUAGGGGAGCAACGGGAGUUAAGAUAACCCGA
rnacentral:rRNA from 1 species